rnacentral:rRNA from 1 species
CCUCGGGUGGCAGCAGUGGGGAAUAUUGCACAAUGGGGGAAACCCUGAUGCAGCGACGCCGCGUGAGUGAAGAAGUAAUUCGUUACGUAAAGCUCUAUCAGCAGGGAAGAAACACUGACCUUACGGUCAGCAGACGGUACCUGAGUCAGAAGCCCCGGCUAACUACGUGCCAGCAGCCGCGGUAAUACGUAGGGGGCAAGCGUUAUCCGGAUUUCCUGGGUGUAAAGGGAGCGUAGACGGUGCGCCAAGUCUGGAGUGAAAGGCCGCAGCUUAACUGCGGAACUGCUUUGGAAACUGGCGAACGAGAGUGCGGGAGGGGUAAGCGGAAUUCCUAGUGUAGCGGUGAAAUGCGUAGAUAUUAGGAGGAACACCGGUGGCGAAGGCGGCUUACUGGACCGUAACUGACGUUGAGGCUCGAAAGCGUGGGGAGCAAACAGGAUUAGAUACCCUUGUAGUC